AGAGUUUGAUCCUGGCUCAGAUUGAACGCUGGCGGCAUGCCUUACACAUGCAAGUCGAACGGCAGCACGGGUGCUUGCACCUGGGGGCGAGUGGCGAACGGGUGAGUAAUAUACUCGGAACGUACCUUAUCGUGGGGGAUAACGCAGCGAAAGCUGCGCUAAUACCGCAUACACCCUGAGGGGGAAAGCGGGGGACCGUAAGGCCUCGCGCGAUUAGAGCGGCCGAUAUCUGAUUAGCUUGUUGGUGGGGUAAAAGCCCACCAAGGCGACGAUCACUAGCUGGUCUGAGAGGACGAUCAGCCACACUGGGACUGAGACACGGCCCAGACUCCUACGGGAGGCAGCAGUGGGGAAUUUUGGACAAUGGGGGCAACCCUGAUCCAGCAAUGCCGCGUGAGUGAAGAAGGCCUUCGGGUUGUAAAGCUCUUUUGUCAGGGAAGAAACAGCAGCUCUAACACAGUCUGCGAAUGACGGUACCUGAAGAAUAAGCACCGGCUAACUACGUGCCAGCAGCCGCGGUAAUACGUAGGGUGCAAGCGUUAAUCGGAAUUACUGUGCGUAAAGCGUGCGCAGGCGGGUAUACAAGACAGGCGUGAAAU
rnacentral:rRNA from 1 species